rnacentral:rRNA from 1 species
AGGACGUGCUAAUCUGCGAUAAGCGUCGGUAAGGUGAUAUGAACCGUUAUAACCGGCGAUUUCCGAAUGGGGAAACCCAGUGUGUUUCGACACACUAUCAUUAACUGAAUCCAUAGGUUAAUGAGGCGAACCGGGGGAACUGAAACAUCUAAGUACCCCGAGGAAAAGAAAUCAACCGAGAUUCCCCCAGUAGCGGCGAGCGAACGGGGAGGAGCCCAGAGCCUGAAUCAGUGUGUGUGUUAGUGGAAGCGUCUGGAAAGGCGCGCGAUACAGGGUGACAGCCCCGUACACAAAAAUGCACAUACUGUGAGCUCGAUGAGUAGGGCGGGACACGUGGUAUCCUGUCUGAAUAUGGGGGGACCAUCCUCCAAGGCUAAAUACUCCUGACUGACCGAUAGUGAACCAGUACCGUGAGGGAAAGGCGAAAAGAACCCCGGCGAGGGGAGUGAAAAAGAACCUGAAACCGUGUACGUACAAGCAGUGGGAGCCUCUUUUAUGGGGUGACUGCGUACCUUUUGUAUAAUGGGUCAGCGACUUAUAUUCUGUAGCAAGGUUAACCGAAUAGGGGAGCCGAAGGGAAACCGAGUCUUAACUGGGCGUUAAGUUGCAGGGUAUAGACCCGAAACCCGGUGAUCUAGCCAUGGGCAGGUUGAAGGUUGGGUAACACUAACUGGAGGACCGAACCGACUAAUGUUGAAAAAUUAGCGGAUGACUUGUGGCUGGGGGUGAAAGGCCAAUCAAACCGGGAGAUAGCUGGUUCUCCCCGAAAGCUAUUUAGGUAGCGCCUCGUGAAUUCAUCUCCGGGGGUAGAGCACUGUUUCGGCAAGGGGGUCAUCCCGACUUACCAACCCGAUGCAAACUGCGAAUACCGGAGAAUGUUAUCACGGGAGACACACGGCGGGUGCUAACGUCCGUCGUGAAGAGGGAAACAACCCAGACCGCCAGCUAAGGUCCCAAAGUCAUGGUUAAGUGGGAAACGAUGUGGGAAGGCCCAGACAGCCAGGAUGUUGGCUUAGAAGCAGCCAUCAUUUAAAGAAAGCGUAAUAGCUCACUGGUCGAGUCGGCCUGCGCGGAAGAUGUAACGGGGCUAAACCAUGCACCGAAGCUGCGGCAGCGACGCUUAUGCGUUGUUGGGUAGGGGAGCGUUCUGUAAGC